GACGAACGCUGGCGGCGUGCCUAAUACAUGCAAGUCGAACGCAGUGGGGACGGGUGAGUAACACGUUGGUAACCUCCCAUCAGAGGGGAUAACACUUGGAAACAGGUGCUAAACCGAUAUUGAUGGAUGGACCCGCGGUGCAUUCGCGAGUUGGGGAGGUAAAGGCUCACCAAGGCCACGAUGCAUAGCCGACCGGAGAGGGCGAGCGGCCACACUGGGAUUGAGACACGGCCCAUAUUCCUACGGGAGGCAGCAGUGGGGAAUAUUGCACAAUGGGCGCAAGCCUGAUGCAGCCAUGCCGCGUGUAUGAAGAAGGCCUGAGGGUUGUAAAGUACUUUCAGCGGGGAGGCGUUACCCGCAGAAGAAGCUCCGGCUAACUCCGUGCCAGCAGCCGCGGUAAUAC
rnacentral:rRNA from 1 species